ACCAGCAGCCAUAUCACCCUGUACCUCACAACUGACAACCCACUGAAGCUCACCAGGUAUGAGCCUGGUCAAUACCUGGAUGGGAGACCUCCUGGGAAAAACUAAGAAUGCUGCUGGAA
rfam:Lepisosteus oculatus linkage group LG21, whole genome shotgun sequence.